UCUGGCUGCUUUUGAGAUGGUCUAUUUGUCUUUGGGUUUCAGCAGUUUUCCCAUAACGACCCUUAACAAUGUUGUGGUAACGAACACCUAAGAUGAUCUCCAGUGAUCCCCACCUUCUGAUGUUCAUGCUUUGUGUAGUUCCCUCUACACUGUACCAGUUUUGGUAUGGAUGACUACUACAAUUUGGCAUAAGUUAAGCUGGUUGCCAUGUUGUGAGCAUCCUCAGAGGAACUGAGGCCUCCUGUCAACAGCCAUAUGAGAGUUUUGAUGCAGAUCCUCUAGCAUCUAUCAGUUCUUCAGAUAACUGCAGCCCUGGCCAACAAGUUGAAUUCAACAUCAUCACAGACCCUAAGCCAGAAUCUUCCAGCAAAGAUACUCUUAAGUUUCUUUUCCUCAGAAACAGUGAGAGAUAAUAUCUUUGUGACUUUAAACUAUUGUUUUGAAGCAAUUAAAUAAUCAAUCCAAAGAUUUUGUAAAGCUCCUGGGUCUCUGUGUGUGCCUGAGCAGCUGCUCUGUUGAGACUCCACACAGCUCUGUGUGGAGAGCAAUUACUUUUGUGCCAG
rnacentral:lncRNA from 1 species